CGGGACGGGUGAGUAACACGUGGAUAACCUACCUAUAAGACUGGGAUAACUACGGGAAACCGGAGCUAAUACCGGAUAAUAUAUGAACCGCAUGGUUCAAUAGUGAAAGACGGUUUUGCUGUCACUUAUAGAUGGAUCCGCGCCGCAUUAGCUAGUUGGUAAGGUAACGGCUUACCAAGGCAACGAUGCGUAGCCGACCUGAGAGGGUGAUCGGCCACACUGGAACUGAGACACGGUCCAG
rnacentral:rRNA from 1 species